AUACGUAGGGAGCGAGCGUUGUCCGGAAUUACUGGGUGUAAAGGGUGCGUAGGCGGGACUGCAAGUCAGAUGUGAAAUGCCGGGGCUCAACCCCGGAGCUGCAUUUGAAACUGUGGUUCUUGAGUGAGGUAGAGGUAAGCGGAAUUCCUAGUGUAGCGGUGAAAUGCGUAGAUAUUAGGAGGAACAUCGGUGGCGAAGGCGGCUUACUGGGCCUUUACUGACGCUGAGGCACGAAAGUGUGGGGAGCAAACAGGAUUAGAUACCCUGGUAGUCCACGCUGUAAACGAUGAUGACUAGGUGUGGGGGGACUGAACCCUUCCGUGCCGCAGUUAACACAAUAAGUCAUCCACCUGGGGAGUACGGCCGCAAGGUUGAAACUCAAAUGAAUUGACGGGG
rnacentral:rRNA from 1 species